rnacentral:tRNA from 1 species
GCUGUAGCUCAGUUGGUUGGGCGCGCAGCUGCUGGAUCUGGUGACACGGGUUCGAAUCCCGCGGGCAGCA